GAAUCUUCCACAAUGGACGAAAGUCUGAUGGAGCAAUGCCGCGUGAGUGAAGAAGGUUUUCGGAUCGUAAAACCCUCUUGUGAGGGAAGAACAAGUCCGAGAGUAACUGCUCGUACCUUGACGGUACCUCACUAGAAAGCCACGGCUACAUCCGUGCCAGCAGCCGCGGUAAUACGUAGGUGGCAAGCGUUGUCCGGAAUUAUUGGGCGUAAAACGCGCGGAGGCGGUCCUUUAAGUCUGAUGUGAAAUCCCACGGCUCAACCGUGGAAGGUCAUUGGAAACUGGGGGACUUGAGUACAGAAGAGGAAAGCGGAAUUCCAAGUGUAGCGGUGAAAUGCGUAGAGAUUUGGAGGAACACCAGUGGCGAAGGCGGCUUUCUGGUCUGUAACUGACGCUGAGGCGCGAAAGCGUGGGGAGCAAAC
rnacentral:rRNA from 1 species